AAACAAGCUUUUAAGAGCAGAUGGCGGAUGCCUUGCCAAAGAGAGGCGAUGAAGGACGUACUAGACUGCGAUAAGCUAUGCGGAGCUGUCAAGGAGCUUUGAUGCGUAGAUGUCCGAAUGG
rnacentral:rRNA from 1 species